rnacentral:rRNA from 1 species
CAGUCGAACGAUGAUCUCCAGCUUGCUGGGGGGAUUAGUGGCGAACGGGUGAGUAACACGUGAGUAACCUGCCCUUGACUCUGGGAUAAGCCUGGGAAACUGGGUCUAAUACUGGAUACGACCUUCCAUCGCAUGGUGGUUGGUGGAAAGCUUUUGUGGUUUUGGAUGGACUCGCGGCCUAUCAGCUUGUUGGUGGGGUAAUGGCCUACCAAGGCGACGACGGGUAGCCGGCCUGAGAGGGUGGACGGCCACACUGGGACUGAGACACGGCCCAGACUCCUACGGGAGGCAGCAGUGGGGAAUAUUGCACAAUGGGCGCAAGCCUGAUGCAGCGACGCCGCGUGAGGGAUGAAGGCCUUCGGGUUGUAAACCUCUUUCAGUAGGGAAGAAGCGAAAGUGACGGUACCUGCAGAAGAAGCGCCGGCUAACUACGUGCCAGCAGCCGCGGUAAUACGUAGGGCGCAAGCGUUAUCCGGAAUUAUUGGGCGUAAAGAGCUCGUACGCGGUUUGUCGCGUCUGCCGUGAAAGUCCGGGGCUUACCCCGGAUCUGCGGUGGGUACGGGCAGACUUGAGUGAUGUAGGGGAGACUGGAAUUCCUGGUGUAGCGGUGAAAUGCGCAGAUAUCAAGAGAACACCGAUGGCGAAAGGCAAGUCUCUGGGCAUUAACUGACGCUGAGGAGCGAAAGCAUGGGGAGCGAACAGGAUUAGAUUACCCUGGGUAGUCCAUGCCCGUAACGUUG